rnacentral:piRNA from 1 species
UAGCAGAGAAUACAAAUGCCUGAGGAAGGGUC